GUUGUUGUGGCCGAGUCGUUAAGGCGGUGGACUAGACAUCCGUUGGGGUCUCCCCACGCAGGUUCGAACCCUGCUGACAACG